rnacentral:sRNA from 1 species
UAGGAAGGCCCGUGAGGCUGCAGCCAAAUGGGCAAGGUCAGAGUGAGGAGCAGAGGCCAGAACCACAGGGAGGGAGCGGCCAGACCCUCCACGGCCUUAGGGCGUCCCUGAGAUUCCAUCAGGAAAGGGAUGUAAUCGGAUCACCCGGGGAACAGUGGGGAAAAUUGACUCCAGGAGGUCAGGGGGAUUCAAGGACACCCCCCACCACUGUCUCUCUCCAGCAGAGCCCACACAAUGAAGACCCCCAGGCAGUGACGUAUGCCCCGGUGAAACACUCCAGACCUAGGAGAGAAAUGGCCUCUCCUCCCUCCCCACUGUCUGGGGAAUUCCUGGACACAAAGGACACACAGGCGGAAGAGGACAGGCAGAUGGACACUCAGGUGAGUCCUUUCCUCUCCAGACCCCCAGGCCUCCCCGACCCCCACCACGUUCCUUCCCUCUCACUCUCCCCCGCUGCAGGCUGCUGCAUCUGAAGCCCCCCAGGAUGUGACCUACGCCCAGCUGCACAGCUUGACCCUUAGACAGAAGGCAACUGAGCCUCCUCCAUCCCAGGAAGGGGAACCUCCAGCUGAGCCCAGCAUCUACGCCACUCUGGCCAUCCAC